rnacentral:misc_RNA from 1 species
GAUGAAGAACGUAGCAAAAUGCGAUAAGUAAUGUGAAUUGCAGAAUUCAGUGAAUCAUCGAAUCUUUGAACACACAUUGCGCCCGCCAGUAUUCUGGCGGGCAUGCCUGUUCGAGCGUCAUUUCAACCCUCAAGCACAGCUUGGUGUUGGGACUCGCGUUAAUUCGCGUUCCUCAAAUUGAUUGGCGGUCACGUCGAGCUUCCAUAGCGUAGUAGUAAAACCCUCGUUACUGGUAAUCGUCGCGGCCACGCCGUUAAACCCCAACUUCUGAAUGUUGACCUCGGAUCAGGUAGGAAUACCCGCUGAACUUAAGCAUAUCAAUAAGCGGAGGA